rnacentral:rRNA from 1 species
ACGGGAGGCAGCAGUGAGGAAUAUUGGUCAAUGGUCGGAAGACUGAACCAGCCAUGCCGCGUGCAGGAAUAAGGCCCUAUGGGUCGUAAACUGCUUUUGUGGUGGAGCAAUAAGGCGUACGUGUACGUCGAUGAGAGUACAUCACGAAUAAGCAUCGGCUAACUCCGUGCCAGCAGCCGCGGUAAUACGGAGGAUGCAAGCGUUAUCCGGAUUUAUUGGGUUUAAAGGGUGCGUAGGCUGUGCAUCAAGUCAGCGGUGAAAGCCCGGGGCCUAACUCCGGAACUGCCGUUGAUACUGUUGUGCUAGAAUACGGAUGCCGUGGGAGGAAUGAGUAGUGUAGCGGUGAAAUGCAUAGAUAUUACUCAGAACACCGAUUGCGAAGGCAUCUCACGAAUCCGUUAUUGACGCUGAGGCACGAAAGCGUGGGGAUCAAACAGGAUUAGAUACCCUGGUA